GCCAGCAACCAUAUCACCCUGCAGCUCUCGAGUGGCUACCCACUGAAGCUCAGCAGGGUUGAGCCUGUCCAGUACCUGGAUGGGAGGCCUCCUGGGAAGCUAUGGUUGCUGCUGUGA
rnacentral:rRNA from 1 species